UCGUCUCUGCGAGCCGUGUUUUCUGUUCUGUCACCUAUAAUACUGCGAAAAGAAUGUGAUCGCGACUACCGGGGAGUAUUUUCGUCGCAGAGGAAUAUCGGAAGCUGCGAAGAGCAAGGAAAACAUGGAAUUCUAGCCGCAAGCAUCCAGAGCUUGUCAAUGAAGUGAGGGGCAUGCGUUUGGCUACCUAAUGCAUCGCAGGCACCCUCUAACAUCUCCUGGCUGCCAAUGGGCCUGGAGUUCCCCAAUCUUCACUGCUGCUGUAGCCACCUCGUCGGCCAUGAACAUUAAGACUUUAUUGCCGUUUUAACUUGUCUUCAUUUUUCUGUUCUUUGUUUCGCGUUUCUUUACUUGCGUGUCAUCUUUUUGGUGUGAAAAGUGUAGUGUGUAAGUGUUUUUAAAUCGAUACUCCUCUUUCUUGGGGUAGUGUGAGCACGUCUGCCCAAGUUGCUUUGACAUGUGAUUGUCAGCCUUCUGAAAUGAUGCACACAACACAUAUCAUGUGGCGUCAUUUCGUGCGGCAAGCCUCUAAGCAUAGCCUUUCUCUCCAGUAAAACUGACACUGCAAGAUUUCGUGGCAGUGCUUGCUCUUCAUAAGUUUUUUGGCAUAUGCUAGUCAGCUAUCUGAAAUGAUAUGCAGACCAGGCUUGACUGUACACCAAAAGACUGUAGUUUCAUGAUGUCACUUGAAGCAGGAAUGUAUAUGACACAAGUGUGUUUACAAGUUGCACUAAAGGAUGAUAUGCCUGUUUGCCACUCACAGGAGGUGCUUUUACACUGAACAAAAUAAUCACACAGUCCUUUUUGAAACUGCAGUUGACUUCUGCGUGGGUCACAGCUAUCAAUCCUUUUGCAAAGUUAUGUCCUCGAAAACCAAGCAUAUACUCUUCUUUGCAAAUUAGGCUAGUUACAUUGCAACAUGCAUUUUACAUUUACGUAAUGUUGGCGCUAUAUCUGUAAGAAAAAAUUUUGCUAUUGCUAUUCAAGAAAGCAUCCUGUCAGUUGCACAGGCGUGUUUUCAACACUGUAUACAUUGGUUUGUCUUGCUGCUUCAUGUAAUAUUAUUGUUAUGCAACUGACCUUUCUUAUAAACAUUGACAAACCACCAUCUUGUUAGGGGUACUAUACUACUCUGUAAUAUAUCUGAAAUGCAUAGCUGUGCACGCAAUUGCCUACGCCGUAUGAAAAAAACAGAGACAACAUGUGCCGAACUUCAACCAAAAUUUGAGGUGCGCAGACAUUGGUUACAGUAUUGGUCCCUGCCACACGCGACCACAAAGGUGCUCCUUGAAACGCAUAUAACGCUUUUAGCAACGUAAUAUGUCCAUAGUACAAAGGCAUGCUGAUGUUAUCUAUAUUUGCAUGAUAGUAGUCAUUAAUUACCCAUGCAGUACGAUGUCACACUGCGCUUCCUUCAGCAUGAUGUUUCUUGUAACUUGUGCAUCUAUAUUUGCAUGAUAGUAGUCAUUAAUUACCCAUGCAGUACGAUGUCACACUGCGCUUCCUUCAGCAUGAUGUUUCUUGUAACUUGUGCAUGUAAAGAUGUCAGUAAUGCUUUUAAAAACAUGACACUACAGUUUCCCAAUGUACGUUUAUUUACAGAAAGUAUGUGCCAUCUUUGCAUUGGUGUGAACACGAAUAAAUUCUUUUUUUUACAAGG
rnacentral:lncRNA from 1 species